AAGUCGUAACAAGGUUUCCGUAGGUGAACCUGCGGAAGGAUCAUCAUUGAAAUCCAUUCAUACCCACACCUGUGAACAGUUGGCCGUACGCCUCUGUGCUGGAAACACAACUUGUGUUCUAGCUAUAACGGAGGUACGCGUACGGCCUGCUUACGCAUAUUGCGUUGGAUGCGUUGUGGCAUGACUAGUGUGAGCGAGGCUUGCUGUGUGUGCAAUGCAAUAUGCAUGCAUAUACACAUGCUGGCGCCGCUACUUGCCACUCGUGUCCAAUUGCUUACACAAACACGCUUAACACAAAACUUUUAAACAAUACAAUAAACAAAACAACUUUCAACAAUGGAUCUCUUGGCUCUC
rnacentral:misc_RNA from 1 species